GCAUUCCUCAACCCCUGCCCAGUUCCCUGCCCCACCCCCUCCUGAUGUUCCUAGCUUCAAAGGAAACGUGCAACAAUCACUCCAUUCAGGAACCUUUAGGACUGGAGAGGAAUUAAUGCUGAAAAUAACUUUUCCUGAAAAGACUUCCACUGAAACUUCCACUCCAUGAACAUUAGGGUGUGUCCACCAACAUACACUGACAUGACUGAUGGAUACAUGCUGACAACACAUCCAUCAGUCAUGUGAGAGUGGCUGAUAAGGGUCUUAACGGUGGUACUUUGCUGAAUUCACAGGAAAAACCUGCAUAGCAACUAUUCAGCUGUGGUAAAGCCUACUGCUGUGACUACAAACUAAGUUUGCAAUUAAGACUAAGACUGUUCUGUUCUGUGGGGUCCAGCACAUGAUCACAACUAAGGAUAAAUUCUCAUAAAUUGGAAAAUAUGGAGCAUUUUGAAAGUAUCAUGUUGUUAGCAACAGACUAUAUAACUUUUUCAGAGAAAAAAGUUUUUUUUUUCAUACUUGCAUAGGCUGCCCUCUGUUGGUUGAAAGACUACAGUACCCUGCCUGUUUUUUUUUUCUGUCCCAUGUGAUUGACUCUGUGCCUUUAAACAGACCAGCAGAUGGCAGCCUUGACAGUUUUUUGGGGCUCUUGUAGGAGUUUCCAACUCCAGCACAAAACUAGAGAACCUUUUUUAUGAAGGUGAAAUAAAACUGUAUGGUAAUAUAAUAAACAUAUAAACCACUAUAAUAUGUGCUUUAUUAAAUAAACUUAAAAUAUAAA